UACGUAGGUGGCAAGCGUUGUCCGGAAUUAUUGGGCGUAAAGCGCGCGCAGGCGGUUAUGUAAGUCUGAUGUUAAAGCCCGGGGCUCAACCUCGGUUCGCAUUGGAAACUGCGUAACUUGAGUGCAGAAGAGGAAAGUGGUAUUCCACGUGUAGCGGUGAAAUGCGUAGAUAUGUGGAGGAACACCAGUGGCGAAGGCGACUUUCUGGUCUGUAACUGACGCUGAGGCGCGAAGGCGUCGGGAGCAAACAGG
rnacentral:rRNA from 1 species